ACUGGUGGAGCGCUUAGAAGUGAGAAUGCCGGUAUGAGUAGCGAAAGACGGGUGAGAAUCCCGUCCACCGUAUGACUAAGGUUUCCUGAGGAAGGCUCGUCCGCUCAGGGUUAGUCGGGACCUAAGCCGAGGCCGAUAGGCGUAGGCGAUGGACAACAGGUUGAUAUUCCUGUACCACCUCCUCACCGUUUGAGAAAUGGGGGGACGCAGUAGGAUAGGGUAAGCGCGCGGUUGGAUAUGCGCGUCCAAGCAGUAAGGCGUGUGUGUAGGCAAAUCCGCACACUGUAACGUUGAGCUGUGAUGGCGAGUCCGUAUGGACGAAGUUCCUGAUUUCACACUGCCAAGAAAAGCCUCUAUCGAGGUGAGAGGUGCCCGUACCGCAAACCGACACAGGUAGUCGAGGAGAGAAUCCUAAGGUGUGCGAGA
rnacentral:rRNA from 1 species